GAUGAACGCUGGCGGCGUGCUUAACACAUGCAAGUCGAGCGAUGAAGUUUCCUUCGGGAAACGGAUUAGCGGCGGACGGGUGAGUAACACGUGGGUAACCUGCCUCAUAGAGUGGAAUAGCCUUUCGAAAGGAAGAUUAAUACCGCAUAAUGUUGAAAGAUGGCAUCAUCAUUCAACCAAAGGAGCAAUCCGCUAUGAGAUGGACCCGCGGCGCAUUAGCUAGUUGGUGGGGUAACGGCCUACCAAGGCGACGAUGCGUAGCCGACCUGAGAGGGUGAUCGGCCACAUUGGGACUGAGACACGGCCCAGACUCCUACGGGAGGCAGCAGUGGGGAAUAUUGCACAAUGGGGGAAACCAUGAUGCAGCAACGCCGCGUGAGUGAUGAAGGUUUUCGGAUCGUAAAGCUCUGUCUUUGGGGAAGAUAAUGACGGUACCCAAGGAGGAAGCCACGGCUAACUACGUGCCAGCAGCAGCCGCCGUAA
rnacentral:rRNA from 1 species